UGUCAUCCAUGUAAGAUGUGACUUGCUCCUCUUUGCCUUCCACCAUGAUUGUGAGGCCUCCCCAACCAUGUGGAACUGUAAGUCCACUAAACAUCUUUUGUAAAUUGCCCAGUCUCAGGUAUGUCUUUAUCAGCAGCAUGAAAACUGACUAAUACAAUACUCCUGUUGGUGGUUCCUGAUCUGAGAGAAAACACAUUGAUGUGGUCCUGCAGAGGCAAGACAGUUAGAGCUUGUGCUCAAUGUCCCUGAACCCCUAAUUGUGAGCCAGCCUUUGACUGGGAAGCAUAUGUUUACUUUAAUAUCAUGGUUCCAUUGCACCCUUUUCCUGCAAUAAUCUGCGGAUGAACAGCAUUAUUAUUUUAGAUCCUGUGAAUCUUCUUUGGCAAUCAGCCCUGUUUGACUACCACUGUCAGUGGGUGGAUGGUAAUCUUACUAGAUUUAUGAGCUCCCUGAAGUACUCUUGAGAGCAGUGUGAAGGGGUGGUAGGCUGAAUAAUGGUUCCCAAGAAAAACCAGGUCCUAAACCCUGGAACUUGAGCAUGUUACCAUGUAUGGCAAAACAGACUUUGCAGAUGUAAUUAAAUUAAGGAUUUUGAAAUGGAGAGAUUAUCCUGGAUUAGCCAGGUAGGCCCAAUGUAAUCACAAUAGUCCUUUGAAGAGAGAGGCAGAGGGAGAUUUUACUACAGAAGAAGACAAUGUGACUCUGGAAGCAGAGGGAGGAAAGACAACUGAUGCAAGAAAGGGGUCACGAGCCAAGGAAUGCAGGCAUAUCCAGACGCUUGAAAAACCAGAGCACAAAUUCUCCCCUAGAGCUUCCAAAGGAACUUGCCUGGUGACACCUUUCAGACUCAUUUCAAGCUGGGCCUCUAACUGUAAGAAAGUAAAUUUCUGUUGUUUAAUGCAAGUAAGUUUGUGGUAAUUUGUUACAGCAGCCACAGGAAACAUGAAGCUAACAUAUAGCAUUUAGCAGACUUCUUUUUAGACUUCAGAUGAUGGUAUUACCGUGGAAGGAGGGUGUCCUCAGAAAGACUUGGAGCUCUGAAGACCACCAGUAAAGCCUUCUGUGCAUGCUGUCACAGAUGCACUAUUGACCUAAUAGAAAAUGUGUCAAAGGACUAGAACAAGCAACUCAAGAAGACAUUUUAAUCACCAAUAAGCAAAGGAAGAAAUGUUUUCCCUGGUGAUAAUCACUAUUAUCAAAGUGUGAUUACAUUUCCAAUUAACUGAAAAAAUUUAGCAUCAGUUACGGCAAGCGUUGGCAUGGAGGAGAGGAAAGAAGAACGUUUAUGUUUUGUCAGUGGGAAUGCAGAAGACCACAUGGGAAAUGACUACAAUCGGAGUUUUCAACUGAUUUCAGCCUCCAGCCCCAGACCUCAUAGAAAAGGGACAUGCACUCAGCAAUCAGUGAGCUGAAGUCCAGCUUGUUGUAGACCAAGACUGCCGCAGAAGAUUCUCUGAUCCAGCAGCCUCUAACACCCUUCAGCUCUGUGGGAAGCACAGAUUAGGUCUUGAAUGCCUCAGCUUGGAUGAAAAUGCUGGGACAGCAGAAUUUGAUGGAAAUUUCAUUAGUGGACUGAAUUACCAGAGCCCAGAUUGUUAGGUUUGGAAGCGUCCAUACUUCUGCCUGGGAAUAUGGGGUAUAAGGUUGCUGCAGUGGCUAGAAUAGUUGUUUCCAUUUUGGAUGCCUCCCAAGACAAGGAAUAGAGACAGAUUGUCUUAAAAAUUUAAUUCUCUAAAUUUGAAAAAAAAUUACCAACUACAAACUAUGAGCCAGGAUGUAUGCUACAAAAUGUACAUAAACAGUCCAUUGCAUCCAUUGAAUGUUCAUAAAACUGUGCAAAUUUGAUAUUAUUGUCCUAAUUUUACAAAAGGGAAACUAAGGCUAAGAAAGUUGGCUUAAUUGGAGUAAUUCUGAGAUCUUUUAACAAAGCAGGCUAUUCUCUUGGGAAAAAGUAAGAUGUACACUACACCCCCCACCAUCUUACCUGAUACUAAUUAAUAUCUUCUACCUCAUGCCUUUUGUCUCUUAUCAUGCUACCCUCUUUCUGCCAUGUGCAACUGUUGAAGUGAGGCAUGGCUUUGCGGCCCCAGGCAAUCCUGAGUCCUUCCUUCCUCUCAAUAUACUCAGGGGCCCCACUCUCUAGGCACUUUUAUCAGAGAGAGAAGGGCCAAGAGGUAUGCAUAGUGGGAGAUCCAGGGGUGCUCACUCUCAGAAAACAAGUUAGCUGAAGCAAAUGCCAGAAAUAGAACAGUUUGCUUAAAACCAAGAUGGGAAGAAGCUAGAACGAGGUAUGAGGGCUGGGAGAGCAGGGGAGUAAGGGAUGAGUGAUGGCUGAACAAGGUCAGAAGUAGCAGUGUUGAGGUAUUAAUUAUAUUUUUUUAUUUUCUAUAUGAGUGAUAAUCUGGUAUCUGGAGUUUCACUGACUGGAAAGAGGCUGCCCCACCCAGGGCUUGCUAAUUCUUAGAGAUAGCAGAAGACUCGCUGAGGAGAGCACCUUUCAUCUGUAUACCAACCAAUCCAGAGCCCGUACUCACAACCACCUUCUCUAUCUGGCUCUUACACUCCAGGAGGUGGUAUUCUUCUGCCCUACUUAUCCCAGAAACAGGUACUGGACAAUUAGGGUCAGCUCCUAUGCCCCAGAGCCCACUGAAAUUAUUCAAACUAGCCCAUUCUAAAUCUGCAUGCCUUGCCUUUCCCACAGAAACCACAACAAAGGCUCUGAACUCUGCUUUCCUUGACUUUCUCUGCCUGAGACUCCCGCCCCCCGCCCUGGUUCUUCCCCAUGUGGCCCAGGCCUCCUGUUUCUAGAGAAUUGUGAGAAAACCCCUCAUGACAGUCAUUUAUGUGCCUACAUGCCUUAUCGUUAUCUGAUUAAAACAAAUCAAGAGUAUAGUUUUCAAUAGCUGGUCAGGAAAACAAAUAAAUAUCAAGAUGUUUAAGACACUGGCUGGUGUAAGGAACAGGUACCGGACAAUUAGAGCUAGGUGUGAGGGUCAGUCUAUGUUGAUCCACUCUGCCAUGGAGCACACUGAUUGGCACUCAGAGCUCGAAGACUCUCUCCCUUUGCCCUUGAUCUAAACCAGCUUUCUGAAAAUUGUCUCAUCUGUCACCUAGAAGUCAGCAUUUACUCUUUGAACUUGCUGGACUUUCCUAGGAAUAUGGAAUAUUUUGUCCUAUGGGAAUAAAAUAUUGAGACCUUAAGUAGCAUUUGCAGGUGACCUGGAAAACCCUGAAUCCACAUCCCUAGAGCACAAUCAAUGCCAGCUCAAGUGAUACGGUUUGGUUCUGUGUCCCCACCCAAAUCCCAUGUUGAAUUGAAAUCCCCAGUGUUGGGGGAGGGACCUAAUGGGAGGUGAUUGGAUCAUGGAAGUGAUUUCUAAUGAUUUAGAACCAUCUCCCUAGUGCUAUCUCCUAAUAGAGUUCUCACAAGAUCUGAUGGUUUAAAAGUGUGUGGCACUUUCUUCCCCUUCACCUUCCCUCCAUGACUGUAAGUUUCCUGAGGCCUCCCAGCUAUGCUUCCUGUACAACUUGCAGAAAUAUGAGUCAAUUAAAUCUCUUUUCUUCAUAAAUUACGCAGUCUCAGGUAGUUCUUGCAGCAGUGUGAGAAAAAACCAAUACACUAAGGUGGCUGUUAUUAUUAAUCUGGUCUCAUUGCAAGGCAAAGGAGUCAUAAUUAGGAUUUGCUUUUCUUUCUCUGGUGAAAAGAAGAGGUAACUGACUGACACACAAAGAAAGAAGUCAACAAAGCAUCUUCCCAGUAGCUGUUUUCCUAGUCACGCAUCCAAUGUGUGAUCUAAAUGCUCAAGAAGGCACGCUCCUUUCUUUCCUUUCAGAACAACCACAUUUAAACUUUGAUCCUCUGGGACCUGUAGAACUUUCCCCUCACUGGUCCUCAGUUUCUCCGUCUAUACAGAGAGAUUGAUAAAUGAGUUGAUCUCUAAGGUCUUAUCCAAUUUGCAGAGCCCGUGAUGACCAACUGAAGCAUUUAGAGACAGGCUUAGCCUUGAGUAUAGUGAGACAGAAGUCCCAGUUAGAUCGGAAAGCUCUAACUUUAUUACAGAUGCCAAUUCCUUUAAUACUGCAGGACUGCCGUGCAUGAGUACAUGAAUGCAUACACACAUACACACACAAGAAAGAAAAAAGACUGGUUUACUUAUUGAUUUUGGUUUAUCCACAUUAAAAGCCAAUACUUUAUACUCCAGACAACUCUUUCUGGGUUGUAGGCCGUCUGGAUAGCUCCCCAGAUGCUGAUCAGACCCACCAAUUAUCAGGAAGACAGGCCCCCACCCCUAAAUAAUGGAGGAAGCAUGUGAGUAUUCCAUAGAGAACAAAGAUUUGGGGCCCAGGAUAUUCUAACCAGAGCAGGUGCAAAAUGCAUUUCAGAAGGAGAAGCUAAGUGAAGAAAAGCUCCUUUCAUUCCUUCAACUUAGGAAACUUUUCUUGGGGCAUUGAUUUUAGACAUCCACAACUAAACAAAGUCACCAUUAAUUUUUACUUCAAAGGCCUUUUCUAUGAGCUCUAGUGGGACAAGUGGAUUAGGAAGGCAUUUGUGGUUGUGAAUUUGCUGUUAUUUCUUUUAAUGUGGUGCAUCUGACGUGCUAAAUGCACUAAGUACCUAAUAAACUGUAAACUGAAUCGUGAACAAUUUCAUUAUCUUGUUCAGGGACACAGAUAUCCAUUAGUUAAUUCACCUAUUUGCAAAAUAAACAAAGGACGUUUUACAAAUGAGAGAAGCAUAUUGUUUUUAAAUUGUAUUUAUUAAUUCAUACUCCAGACAUCAGGCAAGAUGAUAGGCUGAGAAUUAGCUCCAUCUCGCUUCCACACUUCUCCCAAUAAGAGAAAAAAAAGACAAGUGAACUCAAAUUUUUACAGCUGUGAGUGAAAGUUUAAGCCAAGAAAAAUUCCUGUGAGUACUUAUAUCGAAUACAUGGUUCAGGAGCUGAGGUUUAAAUAUCUGUGGGAGAAAUGAAAAAAAUAUGGCCACGUAUUCCGAGGCAGUCUGAAGUGGCCUCACUGCACAAAGCCCAGCAUAACAGAAGCUACGCUACCUGUGUACUGAGGCUAGAAAUGUUCCACCUGUUGGACAAGGAGCAGGAUGGCUUAACCAAGGAGGAGACAGAGGCAGAGAUUAAACCUCUAAAACUGUAAAGAACACUACCAUGUAGCUCUUAUGAAUACUUUUCAGAAGAUGUAAAAAUUCCUGAUUGGGAAACUAUUGUCAGAAAGGACCUGGUCCUGAUUAAUCUCAUGGAUCUCCAGAUGACUGCUUCUACAAAUCAUUCUACACUCAGGAUUCCCACAAAAACGAACUCCACUGGAUAUUAGAAACCACAGAAAAAAACUGCCAUGUGGUAUCAUCAGCAAUGGCAAAAGACAUGGGAAUUUGUACCCAAAGAAGAUACUUUAAUUAGGAAUAUUUAAAGUGUUUCAAAAAGCAAAUUAAGAAAGGAAAGGUACAAUGUAAGAAUAUAAUAGAAUAAAAACAUAAUAGGCAAAUCUAAAAAUAAAAAUAAAGGGGCUAAAACUGAGGGGCAGGGAAUUCAGCAUCUUGGCUUAACAAUUGAUUAACCAAUACAAAAAUCAAAAGAACCAUCCAGAAUGCAGGAGAGCUGUGCAAAAUGGAAAAUAGAAUCCAAGAGAUAUGAGGCUUAAGACAUAAAUUCCAACACAAUCAGAUAGGUGUUCAAAGGGACUUGCCUUGUGUUUCCUAACUUGAAUGAGCUGUGACCAGCUUUGGUUUCAAGACUGUAAUAGUCUUAUCAAAAGUGCCGGUCAGUUUCCCUCUUUUCCUAGUCUCUGUAAUAUUUUCUAUUAUUUAAUAGUUAUUGUUCCUUGGUAGGAGGUAAAAUAGGCCUGGGGAAUGUGUGGAGUGGGGUUGUUGGUGACUGAACAUUUUAACUAUAAAGUUAUUCGAUGGUAACAUUUGAGGAUUUUUAUUUCUUCUUGAGUCAAUUUUCAUGUUUAUAAUUUGCUUUAAAAUGUAUACAGUUCAGUCAUUGGCAUUAAACUGACUAACUCAUUUUUGAAUGUACAUUUGAUAAAAUCAAAUACUCAUUUAUAUUUUUAAAAAAUCUUAGUAAUCUAGAAUCUGAAAUAGAUAACCUUAACCUGUUAAAGGUAUUCUACUAAAAUAUGUCAGUAAGUGUCACAUUCAAUGUAAAAAACAGAACAAUUUCCCAAGAGAGUGAAAAUGAGAUCGAGAUGCCUACUGUCACUAUUUAUUUAAUAUUGUAUUGGAGGUCCUAGGCAAUACAUUUAGACAAAAAAAAUAAAUAAAUAACUGAUAAAAGUUUUAAUAAAAAUAAAUUUUUUAUUAUUUGCAAUUUACAUGAUUUUUGUAGAUGAAAAAACUCAGGCUCUACCAAUAAGCUAUAGAAGUAGUAAAUGAUUUUAGUGAGGUCUCUGAGUAGAUCAAUAUACAAAAACUGUAUUUUCAUAUAUGAACAAUAAAAAUUUGUUAAUGAAAUUUAAAAAUGUAUUCCAUUAGAAUAGCAUGAAAAAUAUCAAACACAUAAGUAUAUAAGAGGUAUAUAAGGAUUAUAUACAGAAAGCUGUGAAACAUUAUAGAGAUAAACAAAAGAAGAUAUAUAAAUAAGGGGAUAUACCAUAUCAUUGAUUGGAAGGCCCAACAUUAUAAAGAUAUCAAUUCUCCCCAUAUCCAUUGAAAGAUUCAUUGCAAUCAAAAUCAUGAUAGGAGAGAUUAUUUUUGAUUCUUUAUUUUGUAUUGUUCUUCAGAGAAAAUUGACAAGCUAAUAUUAACAUUAAAAUGGAACUGCAAAAGAGAAAAAGUUAUGGUAAUUUUGAAGAAUAAACAAAAUUGGAGAAAUGGUAUAACCAGACAGAAAGAAUUAUUAGAAAGCUACAGUAUGUAGCUACAGUGCUGCAGCACUGGCUUUAGGAUAGACAAAGAACCUAGUGGAGCCAAUUGAGAUUCAGAAAUAGACUCUCAUAUAUAUGAGAAUUUAUUUAUAAUAAAGUGGCUCUGCAUAGCCAUAGGGAAAAGGCAGCCUUUUCAAUAAAUGGUUCUAGGUCAAAUGGAAUUUUAUGUUAGAAAAUGUGAAUAUUGACACCUACUUCACAUUAUGUACAUCACGUACAAACAUUAAUUUCAGUUAAAUUGCUUAACUCAACUUGAAAGUUAAAACAACACAGUUCCUAAAUGAUAACAUACAUUCAAUAAUACAUAUACUAAAGGAUGUUAUUCAGCUAAAUGACUGUCAGAAUAAAAGCAACAGUGAGUUAAGAAGAUAAAAUAUUUUCAUAAAGACUAAAUUUUAUUGAGUAUAAAUAUUAAAACAUAAAUGUUAAAAGUAUAUGAGAUUUGAUAUUAACUCAUUUUAAUAACUCAUAUGUUAAAGAGAAAAUAAAAAUGGAAAGAAUAUUUUUAAAUGAACAGAAUAUAUCACUACAGCUUAAAAUUGUGAGAUGUAAUUAAAAUAGUAUUUUAAAAUACAAGGCCAAAUGCAUAAGGUAAAAAAUUUUAAAAAACUGACAACAAAUGAGCUACUAAUGAAGAAAAGUGAAAUAACAACUCAGGAAAGUCAAAGUAAACAAUAAUUUUCAAUAAACAAACAAAACAGUAAUAUAAAGCAAGAACCCAAGUAUUAGUAACAGUUAUUCUUUCCAAAGCCUAAUAAAAUAUAAAAAAACUCACCAGGAAUAAAAAAUUAAAUGCUGAACAUAUUACCAAAAACUAGAAUGUGCUGUAGAUACUGUAAGAGAAUAGGAAUAACUAUGUACCAGUAAGUUUGAACUUAAAUAAAAUAGAAAACCUUUUAGAAACAUAUGUGAUAAAAACAAACUCACUAAGAAUACGGUCAAGGCCAUUGUGCAUUUUUAAAUGCACUAUUAAUUUUGGUUUGCUGGUAUUAUAUCUGAGAAUUUUAUAUCUGUAACUUAAAAGUGAGAGACAUCUAUGAUUUAUUGUUUGGGUAUUAUCUCUAACAAUUUUCUUUUCCUUAAAAUCAGGAUUAUAAUAGUUUUAUAAAUUAAUUUAGAGACUUUCCAUAUUCAUCUAUGCUUCAGAGCAGUUUAUCAAUUGAGUGUUUUUAAAGUUUGAAAUAAAUCACUUGUAAAACCAAUUUGUCCUAGAG
rnacentral:lncRNA from 10 species